UACGAAUGGUGCAAGCGUUAAUCGGAAUUACUGGGCGUAAAGCGUGCGUAGGCGGUUUGUUAAGUCUGCUGUGAAAUCCCCGGGCUCAACCUGGGAAUGGCAGUGGAUACUGGCAAGCUAGAGUGUGUCAGAGGAUGGUGGAAUUCCCGGUGUAGCGGUGAAAUGCGUAGAGAUCGGGAGGAACAUCAGUGGCGAAGGCGGCCAUCUGGGACAACACUGACGCUGAGGCACGAAAGCGUGGGGAGCAAACAGG
rnacentral:rRNA from 1 species